AGAGAGAGAGAGAGAGGGGAUGCAGUCUUUCCAGCAGGUUGUUUAGGUCACUGCUUGCAUAUGGCAACAUGUAAGCACUGAGCCAAAAAACAGAGAGUAUGUUCCAGUCACCUCAGGUUUGGUUUCUAUGCAUAUGCAGGCAUCUACAGACACACCAUUAACGCACAUAUAGUGAAAAAGAAGGUCAUUAGCACAAAUAUAGAAGUGCAGCUGAGUGCAUAUCAAUCAACUGUCAGACAAAUGUUUGUUAUUUUUAGAUAUUUCACAGGUACUUCUUAUCAAAAUGUUGUGAAUUAUACUUCCAUGCAGACACACUUGUAGCAUUUUUCAUCCUUGAAAUCCACUUAGUCAACUGUCAGUGUUAGUAAAAGUUUCUUGCACCAAAAUGGAUUUAGUUUUACGUGACUCUCUCUACACUCUUAGAAAUGAAGCAUGGGUGUAGUUAAAUUUAAAUACUAGUUUUAUGGUAAAAUUACUGAAAGUAUUAUGUUUAUAUAGUAAAAAUAAGAAAGUUUCAUUGCAUUAAAUUAAUAGUAUAAUAUUUCAAGUCUACAAAAUGUCACAGAUUUAAACCAACUUAACCAGAUCAUUUUAAACCUACUAGCAGUUGAAGAUUGUCCCAAAGCGCUUUCCGUACUUGCAAUUUCGCACAUGCACGGGAGGAAGCAAGAAGCAUCCAUUUUCCAUCUGCCCUUGGCCAAUUUUUUUAAAUCCGUUAUCAUCCAUAAAUUAUUUGGCUCUGAAUGUGGAGGUGCAAGCAGUGUCCUGAAAGUGAAUCUACAAGGACUACAGAACAAGUAAUAUUGAAAAAGAAGAAAAACCAACAGGUAAUCAAAAGUAAAAUGGAAGGAACCUUUGCCUAUAGAAGACAGGAAGUUGUUGGAAGAUAUGCCCUUCAUAGCAGAGUUCAAAAACAGAUGGCCAGGCCUGUUUUCUGAGAGCCAGGUAAAUGCAGAAUUCACCCUCAUCACCACUAAACCCUUAUGUCCCGACUGGAUCAUUACUAUAGCCAGCUAUUGAGGGUAUUUAAAAAGAAGUGGGGAACAGCAAGACGUGAUAUCGACGUAAUCAUCGCAGAAAUGGACAUGGCUACUGAGGAUAUUGGUAUUGAUGCAAUGAUGGAAAUGGAGAGACUGGCUUUGGGUGUCUACAUUGUUCGAUAUGAUGGAGCAGAUGCUUCAGAUCCACCUGAGGAUGUUGGCGUCGUCAUUGAAGGCUGCACAGUGCUGCGAGAUCUGAGAGAGGUUGCAAAUGGAUGUGCAGUCCUGUUUGGCUUGAUUCUGUUUAAACUGAGCUAUCCAAAGGAGCUGCAAUAAACAUUCGAAUUUCUUAAGAAAGUGUUUAUGGAAUUGGAUGGGAACAAGCUCUCCACUAAAGUGCAAGGUCCUCAAAAACAAACUGCAUGAGUAAAAUCACCUGCACCAGACAAGACUGGACCCGGCUUUGGACACUUUAGUUGUGUUUACUGUUACUUUAUUUUUGGACUGCUGCUUGACAAAAUAAAGCUAUAAUCAAUGAUGGUUUGUAAUAAGCAGACAGGACUGCAGUUGGUCAUCGACUUGCUUGGGGAGGCUCAGUUCUUUGGAUUUUGGACUGCUGCUAGACAAAACAUCUAGCAAUCUAAAGACAAUGUUGGUUGUUGUAAUUGGCAUUUAAACUUCUCUUGUUUCUGAUUUCUUCAGAAUCAAAAGAUGUGAAAUACAACAAACACUGGUUAUAAUGAAACCAUCUCAAACAAUUUAAGGUGAAGAUUGUUUUUUUGUUACGUAAACAUUGCUGAUUUUCUAUUUCUCCUUUUAAUGCAAACUAUAAACCUUGUAUUUUUCAUAAAAAUGUUCUUGAUAAGUCAGCAGGUAUGUAAAGUCUGAACAUAGUAUGUUCUAACGGUGAAGUGAGAAUUUUUCUGCAGCAUAAAUCCUCUUGAUUUUAAACUUCAGUUAAUUUAACCUCCCUCCAUAUAGAAAACAAGGAUUUGCCUCUUUAGUUUUAAUUUCAGUAGGCAACACCUGUUAGACAUUGUUGACGUCAAAGUUCCAAUUUACUAUAAAGCUAUAUUGGGAUUGAACAUUAUCAGAUGGUGAAGAUUCACAAACAAGUUUUAUAUUUUUGAAUUAUUAUUUAUAUUGGUCUAUUUGCAUUUUAUACGUGGAUUUAUGUUGGUGUCUUCAAUUGUAUUUUUACACUUUGUAUUUGUAUGUAAGUUUUGCUUACGUAUUUGUAAUAAUUUUAUCAGUCAUGAUAAUCCCAGAUAUAUUAAUGUACCUUGAAGGUCAACAUUACUUUGACUUAUACUUCAAAACCAAAGGUGAAUAAAGUUAAUUAAAGUGACUUGAGUAGUUUUCUUUUUAAACCGAGCAAGUAUAAUCAACACAAAUGGAUAACAUUAGCUUAUUUCUGUUUAAUAGAUAGAACUUAAUCAGGUAAUGUUAGUUCAAGCUAUAGUCAUUAAAUUCAAGACAAUAAUUUACAUUUAUUCAAAAUAAUUGUGUAAUGUACCAUUUAAUUAACACCGUUAUGAACGAUUUACUUAAAACAUUAUGUUACAAUUAAUUGUAUAUUACCUUUUCCAUUUAAGCAACUAAGUUUUGUGGGACCGGUUGACAUAACUUUAUUAAUUAAAUACAACAUUUCAUUUCUUAGAGUGUAACUCUUUGAAUUAAACAAGAAACAAGAAGUGUCCUAUCAUCCUUGUAAACUGGCUGACGUUCCCUUUUACAGCUGGACUAAAGUUCCAGACAAAAAGUCUCAACCAUCUCAAGUUACAAAAGGUUUAGCUGACUGUACAAGGAUAAGAGAGAAUUUUAUUCUAAAGGCCCCCUUUAAACCCCAGUCCAUUUAUGAUACAUCAUCAUAUUCAAUUUGCUUAGUUUUUAGUUAAUAGUUUAGUUAAUUAUAACAUGACCAUUUUAGAUUUGUCUUGCAUUGCUCACUUAAACAAUAAACAAGUUAAAUUUCAGUUUUACAGCUGAAUGACCAAAAUGUAUCAAUAUCCUGUAGCAUCAUCUUGAACAUGGAUAACAUUCCUAGCACAUAUUAAAUGUGUGUGUAAUUUAAAGGGAUGGAGGAAGUUCUCAUCCUCAUGUAUAGUGUCAGCCGCUGCUGUCCCGCAGGAACAGAGUCCCUUUGUACUUGCA